rfam:Felis catus isolate Cinnamon breed Abyssinian chromosome E1, whole genome shotgun sequence.
GCCUGGGUGGCUCAGUCGGUUGAGCGUCCGACUUCGGCUCAGGUCAUGAUCUCACAGUUCGUGGGUUCGAGCCCCACAUCAGGCU